GACAGAGGUGCCGAGCGUUAGGCGGAAUCACUGGGCUUAAAGCGUGUGUAGGUGGAUGCCUAAGUACCUUGUGAAAUCCCACGGCUUAACCGUGGAACUGCUUGGUAUACUGGAUGUCUUGAGCCAGCUAGGGGCUACCGGAACAAAUGGUGGAGCGGUGAAAUGCGUAGAUAUCAGGAGGAACACCUAUUGCGAAGGCAGCUCGCUGGGACGUAACUGACGCCUGAGACGCGAAAGCGUGGGGAGCAAACAGG
rnacentral:rRNA from 1 species